rnacentral:rRNA from 1 species
GAUGAACGCUGGCGGCGUGCCUAAUACAUGCAAGUCGAGCGAACGGACGAGAAGCUUGCUUCUCUGAUGUUAGCGGCGGACGGGUGAGUAACACGUGGAUAACCUACCUAUAAGACUGGGAUAACUUCGGGAAACCGUAGCUAAUACCGGAUAAUAUUUUGAACCGCGUGGUUCAAAAGUGAAAGACGGUCUUGCUGUCACUUAUAGAUGGAUCCGCGCUGCAUUAGCUAGUUGGUAAGGUAACGGCUUACCAAGGCAACGAUGCAUAGCCGACCUGAGAGGGUGAUCGGCCACACUGGAACUGAGACACGGUCCAGACUCCUACGGGAGGCAGCAGUAGGGAAUCUUCCGCAAAGGGCGAAAGCCUGACGGAGCAACGCCGCGUGAGUGAUGAAGGUCUUCGGAUCGUAAAACUCUGUUAUUAGGGAAGAACAUAUGUGUAAGUAACUGUGCACAUCUUGACGGUACCUAAUCAGAAAGCCACGGCUAACUACGUG